UACGUAGGGUGCGAGCGUUGUCCGGAAUUAUUGGGCGUAAAGGGCUCGUAGGCGGUCUGUCGCGUCGGGAGUGAAAACUCAGGGCUUAACCCUGAGCCUGCUUCCGAUACGGGCAGACUAGAGGUAUGCAGGGGAGAACGGAAUUCCUGGUGUAGCGGUGGAAUGCGCAGAUAUCUGGAAGAACACCGGUGGCGAAGGCGGCCUCCUGGACGGUGACUGACGCUGAGACGCGAAAGCGUGGGGAGCAAACAGG
rnacentral:rRNA from 1 species